AGUUAGCCGUGGCUUCCUCCUCAGGUACCGUCAUUAUCGUCCCUGAAGACAGGGUUUUACAAUCCGAAGACCGUCAUCACCUACGCGGCGUUGCUGCGUCAGGCUUUCGCCCAUUGCGCAAUAUUCCCCA
rnacentral:rRNA from 1 species